CACGUAGUUAGCCGGGGCUUCUUCUGCAGGUACCGUCGAUGUUCUUCCCUGCUGAAAGCGGUUUACAACCCGAAGGCCGUCAUCCCGCACGCGGCGUUGCUGCGUCAGGGUUUCCCCCAUUGCGCAAUAUUCCCCACUGCUGCCUCCCGUAGGAGUCUGGGCCGUAUCUCAGUCCCAAUGUGGCCGAUCGCCCUCUCAGGCCGGCUACCCAUCGCAGGCUAGGUGGGCCGUUGCCCCGCCUACUACCUAAUGGGCCGCGACCCCAUCCCGCACCGUCGGAGCUUUCCUCCGUGGCGCAUGCGCGCCUCGGAGAGUAUCCGGUAUUAGCCGCCGUUUCCGGCGGUUGUCCCGGGGUGCGGGGCAGGUUGGUCACGUGUUACUCACCCGUUCGCCACUGUAUGUCCGCCCCGAAGGGCGGUUUAACCGUUCGACUUGCAUGUGUUAGGCACGCCGCCAGCGUUCAUCCUGAGCCAGGAUCAAACUCU
rnacentral:rRNA from 1 species